GACGAACGCUGGCGGCGUGCCUAAUACAUGCAAGUCGAGCGGAGUUAUUCCUUCGGGGAUAGCUUAGCGGCGGACGGGUGAGUAACACGUAGGCAACCUGCCUGUAAGACCGGGAUAACAUUCGGAAACGAAUGCUAAUACCGGAUACACAGUCACCUCGCAUGGGGAGAUUGGGAAAGACGGUGCAAGCUGUCACUUACAGAUGGGCCUGCGGUGCAUUAGCUAGUUGGUGGGGUAACGGCUCACCAAGGCGACGAUGCAUAGCCGACCUGAGAGG
rnacentral:rRNA from 1 species